rnacentral:rRNA from 1 species
GAACGAGACCUUAACCUGCUAAAUAGUUAGGCCAACGUUUGUUGGUCGUCAACUUCUUAGAGGGACUAUUGACUAUUAGUCAAUGGAAGUUUGAGGCAAUAACAGGUCUGUGAUGCCCUUAGAUGUUCUGGGCCGCACGCGCGCUACACUGAUCAAGUCAACGAGUUUACAACCUUGGCCGGAAGGUCUGGGUAAUCUUUUGAAACUUGAUCGUGCUGGGGAUAGUCCAUUGCAAUUAUUGGACUUCAACGAGGAAUUCCUAGUAAGCGUGAGUCAUCAGCUCGCGUUGAUUACGUCCCUGCCCUUUGUACACACCGCCCGUCGCUACUACCGAUUGAAUGGCU